rnacentral:rRNA from 1 species
AUACGGUGAAACUGCGAAUGGCUCAUUAAAUCAGUUAUCGUUUAUUUGAUAGUACCUUACUACAUGGGAUAACCGUGGUAAUUCUAGAGCUAAUACAUGCUAAAAACCUCGACUUCGGAAGGGGUGUAUUUAUUAGAUAAAAAACCAAUGCCCUUCGGGGCUCCUUGGUGAUUCAUAAUAACUUAACGAAUCGCAUGGCCUUGCGCCGGCGAUGGUUCAUUCAAAUUUCUGCCCUAUCAACUUUCGAUGGUAGGAUAGGUACGUUGCGUCUUCGGGGGGUUUGGUAGGAUAUACGCUGACAUCUUUUAGUGGCCUACCAUGGUUUCUACGGGUAAGUCGUUGCCCGUAGUGCACCGAUUUAGUCGCGCUAACGCGUGGCAACACCACUGGUUCAGAGGAUGCCCCGGGCGAUCGCAGGAUCGUUUCGGGGCUGAUUCUGGGGCGAGCCGUUGUGGCCGCCCAAACGCCUGGUAAGUGGUGAGCCCUGGAUAUGCCAGGGCUUUCGAUACAUGCUCGUCCACCCGUUCAAGCGGGUCUGGCUGGUGCCCCGGCUCCCGGAGGCCCGGCCAGUCAUGGAAUGUGCGAACGGGGAAUUAGGGUUUGUUCAAUCUUCUCGUUGCUUAACUGCAUCCGCUAACAUCGUCCCACAGGUUCUAUUCCGGAGAGGGAGCCUGAGAAACGGCUACCACAUCCAAGGAAGGCAGCAGGCGCGCAAAUUACCCAAUCCCGACACGGGGAGGUAGUGACAAUAAAUACUGAUCGGGAGCUCUUUUGGGUUUCCGAAUCGGAAUGAGUACAAUUUAAAUCCCUUAACGAGGAACAAUUGGAGGGCAAGUCUGGUGGUGAAAACCUUAGCUUGGCGGUGUUGUACGCCGCCAGCUGGCGCCAGACGUUUCCAGUGGGUGCGAUUGCAUCUGCGAGGUAUCCGGCACGGGGAACUGGCGUCGUCUCGGCGAGCCUCAUCCCGUGGCCAGGGGCGUUGUCCCUGGCCUUAACGCGCGCAAGGCUACCGGUGCGUUCCCCCGUUCGCAUUUCAGGUACGUGCUAAUCCCGCCGUAUCGGCAUGGGCCCUCCUCCCAGGGGAGUCCCAGUAGGGUAGUGGUGGCCAGCAGCCGCGGUAAUUCCAGCUCCAAUAGCGUAUAUUAAAGUUGUUGCAGUUAAAAAGCUCGUAGUUGAAACUUGGGCCUGGCUGUCCGGUCCGCCUCACCGCGUGCACUGGUUCGGCCGGGCCUUUCCUUCUGGGGAGCCGCAUGCCCUUUAUUGGGUGUGCCGGGGAACCAGGACUUUUACUUUGAAAAAAUUAGAGUGUUCAAAGCAGGCCUAUGCUCGAAUACAUUAGCAUGGAAUAAUAGAAUAGGACGUGUGGUUCUAUUUUGUUGGUUUCUAGGACCGCCGUAAUGAUUAAUAGGGAUAGUCGGGGGCGUCUGUAUUCCAUUGUCAGAGGUGAAAUUCUUGGAUUUAUGGAAGACAAACUACUGCGAAAGCAUUCGCCAAGGAUGUUUUCAUUAAUCAGGGAACGAAAGUUAGGGGAUCGAAGACGAUCAGAUACCGUCGUAGUCUUAACCAUAAACUAUGCCGACUAGGGAUCGGACGGUGUUAUUAUUUUGACCCGUUCGGCACCUUACGAGAAAUCAAAGUCUUUGGGUUCUGGGGGGAGUAUGGUCGCAAGGCUGAAACUUAAAGACAUUGACGGAAGGGCACCACCAGGCAAGCUUGACGCCGGGUUAGAAUGUUGUACUUAGUCGCGCCGACGGCGAGGUUCCUGAUUUGCGUGGAUCGUCCCUAAGACGUACCCGCAGCCGCCGCCAAGAUAGCUAGAUCGCUUGGGCGGAUGGUUCACAGAUCAAGUUGGAGCCGGCGAGCCCGGGGAAGCCCCCCAGGCUCGCUAAUGAUAUGAUCGGCCCCGGAGAGCCUUAUCUCCGGGAGCCAGUGCGUGGAGCCUGCGGCUUAAUUUGACUCAACACGGGGAAACUCACCAGGUCCAGAUUUGAUAAGGAUUGACAGAUUGAGAGCUCUUUCUUGAUUUCAAAGGUGGUACGUACAUGCGCUGCCACCUAGAGCCACGUAGCUAGUCUGCUAACCAGCGGGCAACAUUCCCGUAGUGUUGAAAGGUUCCCGGUCGCGCCCGGGAACCAUCAGCAGCCGGCCGGUCCCAUGGGGCAGGCACGGUUCACAGACUACACGGGGGUGGGCCGGAGCUCGCCGAGUGCGCGCACGGUUCUUAGAUAUAGUCGGCCCCGGGGGGUGAUCCCCGGGCUGUUGCGGGUGCAUGGCCGUUCUUAGUUGGUGGAGUGAUUUGUCUGCUUAAUUGCGAUAACGAACGAGACCUUAACCUGCUAAAUAGCCCGGUCAGCUUUGGCUGGCCGCUGGCUUCUUAGAGGGACUAUCGGCUCAAGCCGAUGGAAGUUUGAGGCAAUAACAGGUCUGUGAUGCCCUAGACACCUCUAGGGGCUUACUCGAGUCUGGGGGUUCACCACAGGUGAUCCCCGCCAGGCAACGCCUUUAGUCCGCGGGGAGCCUUACGCUACCUGCGUGCGCUCAAUACAGCGCUCCAGAGACUAGACAGAGGUGGGGGUGUCGCCGAGCGAUGCUCUUUAGAUAUAGUCCGAUGCUGCGCCCGGCCAGGGCGCAGACGUGUAUGUAGAUGUUCUGGGCCGCACGCGCGCUACACUGACAGAGACAACGAGUUCAUCACCUUGGCCGGAAGGUCUGGGUAAUCUUGUUAAACUCUGUCGUGCUGGGGAUAGAGCAUUGCAAUUAUUGCUCUUCAACGAGGAAUGCCUAGUAAGCGCAAGUCAUCAGCUUGCGUUGAUUACGUCCCUGCCCUUUGUACACACCGCCCGUCGCUACUACCGAUUGAAUGGCUCAGUGAGGCCUUCGGACUGGCCCCAGGAGGUCGGCAACGACCACCCAGGGCCGGAAAGUUGGUCAAACUUGGUCAUUUAGAGGAAGUAAAAGUCGUAACAAGGUUUCCGUAGGUUUAGACCCCCGGGUUCGCCUACGGAUGCCCUCGUCGACUCUAAACAACCGUCUAGUCGAUCGCCCCGGGCGAUCGGCCACGCAGUUAUUCUGGCUGGAAGCCGCCCAUGUGGGCAGUAACCAGCAGCUCCCGCACUUCUGCAGUGGAGUUCACAGAUCAAAUACCUGCGGCCGUGCUAGGCACGGUUCUGAUAUGACCGGACCCCGCCCGUAACGGUGGUGAAUGUCGGAACCUGCGGAAGGAUCAUUA